rnacentral:tRNA from 1 species
UCCCUAGUGGUCCAGUGGUUAAGACUCUACACUCCCAAUGCAGAGGCCCAGGUUUGAUCCCUGGUCAGGGAA